GCAAAACGCGAAGAACCUUACCCACCUUUGACAUGUACGGAAUCCUUUAGAGAUAGAGGAGUGCUCGAAAGAGAGCCGUAACACAGGUGCUGCAUGGCUGUCGUCAGCUCGUGUCGUGAGAUGUUGGGUUAAGUCCCGCAACGAGCGCAACCCUUGCCAUUAGUUGCUACAUUUAGUUGAGCACUCUAAUGGGACUGCCGGUGACAAACCGGAGGAAGGUGGGGAUGACGUCAAGUCCUCAUGGCCCUUAUAGGUGGGGCUACACACGUCAUACAAUGGCUGGUACAAAGGGUUGCCAACCCGCGAGGGGGAGCGUAAUCCCAUAAAGCCAGUCGUAGUCCGGAUCGCAGUCUGCAACUCGACUGCGUGAAGUCGGAAUCGCUAGUAAUCGUGGAUCAGAAUGUCACGGUGAAUACGUUCCCGGGUCUUGUACACACG
rnacentral:rRNA from 1 species